CAAAGAAAGAAAAUUUUUCAUUUUUCUUUCUCUUCGAAAUCGUUUUCUUUUUUCUCUCCAAAACGGCGAAAGCUUCGUGGUCACCAUCUUCGCCGACUAAAAGCUACAAGGUGAGAAAGAAGUCCAUUUCUGUCACCGGAGAGGGAAGAAAUUAACUGGCAGCGAUGUUAAUCGGAAGAGCUUUUAAUCGUCAACCCGAUUCCGAUACUCAGCCAUCAGAAUCUUCUUCGUCUUCGUCGUUCACGUUCGAGAAAGAAAUUGAGAAACCCGUCUUAGUUCUGUAUCGAUGAUAGAUGCUAAGAAGGAGAAGCAUCAGAUGUAAUGGGAACUGCUGAAUGGAGAGCCAUGAAGAGUCCAUCUUACUACAAGCGUGGUGAUUAUGUUCCUGGACUCAAGAACGAAACUUUCAAUGGACAUUACAAGAAAGCCCGAAGGUUUUGGUUUUAAAACUGCAGGGAUUUGAUUUUUAAAACUACAGGUUUUGGUUUUGGAAACUGCAGUUUCUGUUUUGAAUACUUUCAGGUUUUGGAUUCACUGGUGUUUUCAGGCUGCCUCUAGUUGAUGGUUGCAGAUUGUUGGACCGUUUAGUUUCAGAGUGGAGUCUGGAAUUCAGAUUGAUCUGAAGAAUGGAGCUAACCCCGUGACUGUAGAUAAGACAGUAUUUGCUAUGGAAUAUGCUAUUCAAGUGCUUGCUUCUGCCAAGGUUGUUGCUUGGUUCUCCCACAACAGAAAGAAUUCAUGGUUGAGCUUCGUUUCUUUGAGAUAUAGUAUCAGGACUUUCCACUCAAAAUGUCUAGCUUGAUCCUAUGAAGAUUGUAGUCGUCUUGCAGAGAAGUAAAUAGACAAUGUUUGAUUUUUUUUUCAGUUUCUUAUGUUAAACAGAAG